AAGAAUUGCUAAUAUACAGAAUAAUUUUUUUCUGUACACGUUGAUAAUAAUAAUUCUCAAAUAUAUAUUUACUUAAAUACAUAUUCAACGAAAGUUAAUAUAAAGACUGUAUAACCUCAGGGGCUCACAUCUUGUGAGUACGGGCGUGGCAAGCCCGAGGUACCCUAGCUGGAUGCUCACUUUGCUUCAAGUUUUCUUGGGUGAGAUCCCUUGCUUUUGCCUUUUCUAUGAAACUCUCUUGAUGACUUUUAGACACUUGAACUCUUCGUAUUUCUGCUUCUUACCUUCUUCUCUGAGGCUCAAUGCUCAAUAGGCUCGUGCGACUGCAGUUGAUAGUCUGUAGUGUGAGAUCCACCCAUGAUCCACCCUCCUAAUUAUUUUCAAAAAAAAAAAAUUGUUCGGGUUUUUCAUUUUAUUUUAUAUGGGUAUUUUUAACGAGACCUCGUUUAAGGAGUUAGCUUUAUUAGUUUCCGAGAGAUUCCCGAAAAACAAUUUUUUUUAAGGGACAUUUAAACUUCAUUCAUUUUUAAACAAUGAUAGCUGCCCUAGUUGUAGUUAAGUUGAACUUGACCUAUAUUUUCGAAUUCCUUUUACAGUAACUUAUAUUUCAUUCAAAAGUUGCCGCUAUAAGCUCCGCCCUAAUCCAAAAUGGCCACGGUUUUCAAGUUGUCAUAUAUUAAUUUCUUAUUGGUCCAUGUUGUAUCUUGUACGGAGUAUAAUCAUUAAUCUUUGGUUUUUGACUGUCGUUUUUGAUUUAACACACAUUUGACAUCUUAAUUUGGGCAGAAUUUCUUUUUGUAUUUUUAAUAGGAAACGUUUGUUUAUUUUCUUCGCGUAGUUACAACAAACAGAUUUCAGUUAUAAGCUUUUCUCAGUCUCUCCAAACAGUAAGUGUUUAAUAUUUUGUGUUUGUUUAAUUAUUUUCCUGUCCAGAACACGGGCCAUAACGUUUAUCCUAAGGUUUAUCCCAAGUAGUGAUUGGAUUGAACGUUGUCUUCUAAUUUUUUUAUCUAUUUAACUUUAAAGUGAAUUUUUAAAUUACGCUGUAAUUUACAAAAGAAAUAAAUCACUCGUAACGGUCAAAACAAGUUUAUCAAAGUUCAAAGCAGUAUUUAUAUUGUCGGAGCUUAUGAAGCAGUGAAAUGGAGGAUGAAAAAUAGAAGAGGGAAUAAGAAGAAUAUGAAAUUAAGAUGACGAGGAGUGGAUUGAAGAUGUUUUAAGAAUUGGAGGGUGAAGAAUAAGAGAUCAACUACCUAUAAGAAUCUAUGAGAAAUUUUCAAGCGAAAUCAUUGCAGUGCAAGUUGUGGGAUAACAGUAUUUUGGCUACACAUUCCUUGUAAAAUGGAAUAUUUUCCAAACUACUAUGUUGGAUGAUCUUCGUGUUUGUAGAAGAGUAGUAUCAGAUGUGUGCUAUCUCAUGUCCUUAGUUUUUUAACUAUUGUAAAAGUUUAGAAACAGAAGCAUUCUUUGACAAAAUAAUUGUUAUGGAGAGAUCAAAAGGUGACGCUCCAGAGCGCGACGCUGCUUUUUUCUAUAGAAGAGACAAAUCUGCACAACAGGACAGCCACACUAUGGACGUGACGUGAAGAAUUUGUUGUUAUGCAUCUGCCUGACGUCGAUUUCGGAUUCGGGAUUCCGAAUAGAGAGGCUAGUACACCCCAGCUCAACCUAAAACCAACUAAAGAUAAUUCGCGUUCGGGGCGCGUUUAAAUCAAAGAAGAUUCCAGAUGAAAUAUUGCAAAACGCGUGUGAUUGGUCCUAAAGCUUCUUCAAUUAGUUCUCAUUAGAAUCCUUCUAUAAGAAAAAGGUAACCGCAGCUGGGCUAGGGCCAUCUUCAUCAGUUGGUAUGCGUAGGCGUUUGUGGCUAUUGUCUUCUCUUAUGUUAUUGUAAAGACGCCUAUAAUUUUGGAAAAAAUAUAUAUUGAUAAAUAAGACGAUGGAGCAGGAAAAUGAGAGGAAUAGAAGAGGACUUGGAAAAUGAUAAGAAUAGAAGAGGGAAUAUGAAAUUGAGAUGAUGGAGGAGCUGAAUGAAAAUGUGUUUAAAACAGUGGAGCGAGAAUUAUAAGUUAAAUCGCUUUUAAAUAUUCACAAGUCUCUCGGGGUGGUUUAGCUUUUUUGAGGGGACAUGCAGACAUUUUACCAGUGCAGAGCUCACUAUAAGAAAGCACUUUUCUUCAGCUGAAUAUUGCCUCUAUAAAUGGAAUAUGUUGUGUUCUAAGCACUCUUGGUUGGUCCCUCUCAUGAUUUAGAUGAUGCUAUCUUACGUCUUAGUAUUUCAGUAGAUUGGCCAACUUAUCAAGCAAUCUAGAAACUGGAAUUUGCUUGUAAAAAAUGAAAUACAUACUGCAAUAUGGCCUCAAGAGCCUCGUUUUUUCUCUCAUAUCUCACAAUGUAACAGCUGUAAAAAUUAAUUGUCCUAGCUCAUGAAUGAAUCUGGAAGUGGCAACUUUCUGUUACAAAUGUAUUUAUUUUUCUGCUUCAGGCUGUUGCUUCCCUCCUGCGCCUCCUCAUCUUCAGCUGCAUUCAGCAAGAGUUCCUCCUGCUCCUUCAUAAUAUACCAAAAGGCUGGUUCUGUAUAUUAUGUGUAUAGGCGUUUAUUUUUAUUGGUACUGUUGUAAAACUUUGAUAAUCUGGACAAACUUUAGGCUUUGAAAAUGUCAUUGUACUGCAGAAAAAAUUAUAUAGGUGAUAAUUUAUCCAUCAUUUGUCAACUAUAAUAUAUCAACUAUAUAUAAUAUCAUCAAAAUGUCAACUAUAAUAUACCUAUAAAUCAGUAAAAUAAAUCAAAAAGUCAUAUUUUGUUAUAAUAAAAUUUAUUUUCAAGUAUCUUUAAUUAAUGCAAAAUUAUGAUUAUUUUAUUGUCGCCGUCAUAAUUAUUUUUAUUUAUUUACUAACUUUUUUAGUGUAUUACCUUAUGGACAUCUGACAUCUUUCAUAUUUUUUUUAAUUCCUAUCGGUUCUAAUUAACAACCAUAGAAUUGCCAGAUUAUCAUAGUUAUUUUUUUGAAUAGUCAAUAUAUUUUAAAUUAAUGAAUUAAUUAUAUAGUGAUCAUUAACAAGAAUAGAAGUACCGUAUGAUCGAAAAAAGAAACGGCGUCCAGUUGGCUAGGAAAUGACGAUCGAUGUCAUUUCCCAUAUAAAUGUACAUAUAAAAUGACAGCGAUCUUCAUUUCAUAGCCAUCUCUGACGCCGUUUUCUUUCAAUCAUACGGUACUAUUUUGAAGCAUAUUAUAUAAAUGAAACCGACAAUUGCAUCAGUACAAUACAUUAUAUAUUUAUGUUAAAUAGGAGCAAUCUGAAGUCUGUUUCACUAGUGCUAUCUGUAUAUGCACGGCAGAGAUUAGAUUCCUAGAGAUGGCUCUCGGCGAGAUCCACUGCGGGCCACGUCUAGGAAUCACAAGAUAAAAGGUAAAAUAAAUAUUUUAAUAUAUUUUUUUAUUAAUUUACUUAAUUUAAAAGCACAAUGAAAUUAUAACUGUUUUAUAUAUUAUAUUUGUAACACAUUUCUCAAUAUUUAUCUUGUUCACGUUUGUUUCACGUAAAUUUACUCCUGUACGAAAAGAAUAUUUGAUUCAAAGCAUACAAUCUUAUACAAUUGUGUUCAUCAGCACCUAUGAUCAGCACCUUUCAAUAUAUUUUUUAAAUAUGGGUCCAAUAAGUAAAUUGGGAAUAUAUACUUCAGAGAUCGCAACUAUUCCAUAUAUUGUUUUUACUUAUGUUUUACUUACUGCGUAGGUAAAACUGUCUAUUAUUUCUAUGUUUGUAUGUUAAUAUUAGGAUAUAUUUGAUAUUAAUAAAAUGUCAGUAUUUUUGUUUCUUCGAAAGAUCUCAUACAUUGCAAUAGAAGGAGUGUUAGUGCCAAUUAAAAUCAUUUUAAUUAUUUUUUCGUCUUAGAGUACUUUCUAGAACAGUAGGUUCUGUAGUGGACUUUUGGUUUAUUUUUUGAACUGUGGCAAGUUUAUAAACCUACAAAUGUAUCUAAAUACAGAGUUAACUAAAACGUUUUAUCAAUUUACUGAGUGGGUUUUCAUUGUUGCCAUCUUAAUUAUUAUGUUUGAUAAAGUAACCCUUAAAUAACUUAGGUUAUAGACACAAGUCACGAUACAGUUAUCAAUAACAUCAUUUUUAAGUAAGCGUUUUAUAAAUAUAUACAAAUAGUUGUUACUUGAAUUACACGUUAUUUAUUAACUAACUUUUACGUCGUAUUUUGCUUAAAAAAACUCUUGAUAUGACGUAUGGGCAUCAUGCCCAAUCCUAUUAAGAUGCCAGCAAUUUUUUUUAUUAAUACUAAUAAUUGCAUUCUUACUGUUUCCCUGUUUUUUUUACAAUAUUCAGAACUCGUUUUUUAAUAGCUAAUAAAGUCUUAAAAAUUUUAUUCUUAAACAUUUCACAACAAUAUUUCUGGUAAGUAUUUCUUCAAAACGUAUAAUAUUUUUUAUAUUCAUUCUUAUUUUAUUUUUAAACAUUUUUAGCUAACUUGAAAUAUAAAACUAAAGAAGUUUUUCAAGCAUUUUAAUGUUUUUCAUUAUAAAUUGUAUUUAUAGUUCAACAUUUUCAGAUUACAGGGGUAAAACUAAUAGUAAGUUAACUAAGGUUAUGUGUAUGUUUUUUUCAUUUAUAUAGAAACCUAAUAAUAAUAAAUAAUUUUUAUUUUUAGUUAAAAAUAACUAGUAAUGUUUUUUAAUACGACUUAACUAACAUAAAUCAUUAUUAGUAUUAGAGUUUAACCGUUCGAUUUUGAGGGUGCUAAUAUAAACUUGUCACAUACCUAUACUGAACCAUCUAUAUCUUUAUGCGAAAAUGUAUGAGGUCUUUUAUUUGUGGAAUAUUAAAGGAUUGUGCUGCGGUGUAAAUCGGCGAUGUAGGAAAGGUAAGAAUUAGAAUAGUCGCUGUCUAAGAUUUUUUGCUCUACGCCUGUGUUUCAUUCAUUCUAUAUUCCUAUUUUCCGUUAAAUGAUUAAAAUACUCCAAAUAUACCACGGGCGUAGCAUAGAAACAGUCAUUCCUUGGUGCCUUAUUAUACGCUUAGUUAUACUUUUUACUUUUUUUGUAAAUAUUGAACACUUUAAAUUUUUGAAAUGAUGCAGAUUAAAUCUUAUUUCAUUUCUCUAAGAGUAUUUAAAACCAAUUUUUUUUUUCAUUUGGUUGGUACACUGUGUACCUAUGAAAUUAAUUUUUAGCUCUAGUAGUUCCUCAACGACCAUUCGCCAUUCAAAACUUCUAAAAAUCUAACCAUUUAUCUACAAUACUCUGUCGAAUAGCGCGAAUAACCAUGUAUAUAAAGUUUCGAAUUAAAGUAUUCCUCUAGUUUGAGAUAUUUAUUCUAAUAUAUUAUAUAUUAAUUACGCAUACUGUAAUCUAAUUUUUCUUAAUAUUAAAACUGAAAAGUACUACGCACCUGAAGAGUUCUAUAAAUUCUGCGACAGCUACUUACCGUCUUUACGUCAUUAUAAGCCGAUUUCAGCCCACUAAUAUCUUUUCUUUUGCAGUUGGCCUUGCCUACAACACAUUUUCAAAUUCUGUAAUGAAAAUGUGUAAUAGGAGAAAAUAUACAAAAAGGAGUAUAAGUUUAAUAUAACUUAAACUUAACUUCUUUAGGUGGCCACACCGGUGCAAUACCUCUGUAGCGACCCAGAGCCUAUGACGGCGGUGGGCGGCAUCGGAGAAUUCCAUGCACAAGCCAGCUGCCACAUAUUUUGAAUCAUUUACUGCUAGGGUCGCACUCAUGGUCGCACUGCUGCACAAUCAUUUUAGUAUUCCAGAAAAAUUUUCGCAGUUGGCCUUGUCCGCUACAAUUAUAGCGGGCAAUGAAGACUUCUGGCUGCACCGAGCCAUGGGCCAACGUGGCUUUGGAAGAACUUCCAUAUGCAGUCCAUAUUGGUCUUUUUCUCGGUACAGCCAUGAAAGAUUUGUGUUGGAGAGUGACACACACACACUCCUUUAUGUAUGCGUUUAGUACACAUGU
rnacentral:lncRNA from 1 species